rnacentral:snoRNA from 1 species
UGGCAUCCACUGAUAGACCUGCUGCCUUUAUCAAUGGCCUCUGGGUUUGCACAGCGAUGCAAAAAUAAUCCUCUUCGCGCUUUCGAGCUGUCUGUGAAGUGGCAGCCGCAGAUUGAAGAGAGGAGAACAGUC